CCCUGCAGCUUUCUCCUGGUUUCCCACUGAAGCUAAGCAGGGUUGAGCCUGGCCAGUAUCCUGAUGGGAGAUGGGAGUUUCCUGGGGAAAACUAUGGUUGCUGCUGGAA
rnacentral:rRNA from 1 species